CACAUAUUGCUACUUCUUGCUCAUCCAUCUUUUUUUGCAUCCUGCUCAUCCAUUUUUUUUUUUUGAAUCCUGAACUGUAUAAUUAUUGGAAC
rnacentral:ribozyme from 1 species